CUUUAGCCCCGGUAGUAGCGGCAUCCUUUUUCUUUUUUCUUUAAAAAGAAAAAGAUAUAGCGGAUGACGGGACGAUGC
rnacentral:sRNA from 2 species